UAUACGGGCGGCCCUCGUUUAUUUUCUAUACCGUUAAUGAACGUUUAAAAAAUUUUUUUUCUUUUUUUGACGAUGGGAGAGUAGACGGUGGGACGUUGGUCAGUUCUGAUGAGAGCAAUACUGCGACAGUCAAUACAGACGACAAUACCAGUACAAAUAGAAUUACAUAUUUUAAUAUACCAUACAUAAAAGACAUCUCAGAAAAGUUCAGCAUUUGCGUCAAAGAUCUAGAUAUACGGAUAUCGUAUACGGGAAUAAAUAAUUUGCGUACGUUUAUAACUGUAGGAAAAGACAAGCUCCAAAAAAAUGCGAAAAGCAAUUUGGUAUACAAAAUUAAUUAUAACGAUUGCGAUGCUUCCUAUAAGACAAACGAGUCGUAUGCUAAAUACUCGCAAGGAACACAAAAAGAAUCGCACUCCGUCUUAGCGAACCAUAAAUUAUUAAACCAUGAUUUCGAGUGAGAUGAUGUUGAAAUCUUGGAUGAGGCACCUUUUUUGAGGAAGAGAUUGAUAUCCGAGAUGAUACACAUUAAGCUUCAUAGAAAUGCUUUAAAUCUCCAGAGCGAUACGCUUAAGUUGAGUGAUGCCUGUUUGCCGAUUAUCGAUAGUUUUUUCGAAAAUUAGACUCAUUCGUUGUUAUUGGGUUCGUGAUGUUUUGUCAACAAUAUAUAUAGGUGUACGUGGGUAUUCGUUUGACAUUCUCGUGCCGUUAAUUGUCGGUUAAGAGUUGUUGGACAUAGCGAGAUGUCCAUCUCUGUCGCGUUUAUUGUGUUCGAUGCAUCUUUCCUUGCGUCUUGUACCGUUAGGAGAUUCAUAAAUCGGACGUGCGGUUGAGAUGAUUACGUAAUGUCGAACUGUUUGACUCUAUUUCACUGAAGAAGACUCGAAAGGAGUCCGAAACGUAUGAUUGAUCAUCAAUAAAGUGUGGAUUAUGGAAGUAGUUUUUUAUUGCUUCACGCCUUACAUCCGCGUUGGCUCGAUAUUGCCUAAUUAUUUAGUUAAAUAUAUUAUUUA